rnacentral:tRNA from 1 species
UAGAAUAUGGUGUAUACGGUAGCACGAAGAAUUUUGAGUUCUUAAGAUUGGGUUCGAAUCCUAUGAUUCUAG